AUCCCAGACUCCUACGGGAGGCAGCAGUGGGGAAUAUUGCACAAUGGGGGAAACCCUGAUGCAGCGACGCCGCGUGAGCGAUGAAGUAUUUCGGUAUGUAAAGCUCUAUCAGCAGGGAAGAAAAUGACGGUACCUGACUAAGAAGCCCCGGCUAACUACGUGCCAGCAGCCGCGGUAAUACGUAGGGGGCAAGCGUUAUCCGGAUUUACUGGGUGUAAAGGGAGCGUAGACGGCGGUGCAAGCCAGAUGUGAAAGCCUGGGGCUCAACCCCGGGACUGCAUUUGGAACUGUGCUGCUAGAGUGUCGGAGAGGCAGGCGGAAUUCCUAGUGUAGCGGUGAAAUGCGUAGAUAUUAGGAGGAACACCAGUGGCGAAGGCGGCCUGCUGGACGAUGACUGACGUUGAGGCUCGAAAGCGUGGGGAGCAAACAGGAUUAGAUACCCCCGUAC
rnacentral:rRNA from 1 species